rnacentral:rRNA from 1 species
ACGGGCUUCGGCCUGGUGGCGAGUGGCGAACGGGUGAGUAAUGCAUCGGAACGUACCGGGUAAUGGGGGAUAACGUAGCGAAAGUUACGCUAAUACCGCAUACGCCCUGAGGGGGAAAGCGGGGGAUCGUAAGACCUCGCGUUAUACGAGCGGCCGAUGUCGGAUUAGCUAGUUGGGGGGGUAAAGGCCUACCAAGGCGACAAUCCGUAGCGGGUCUGAGAGGAUGAUCCGCCACACUGGGACUGAAACACGGCCCAAACUCCUACGGGAGGCAGCAGGGGGGAAUUUUGGACAAUGGGCGCAAGCCUGAUCCAGCCAUGCCGCGUGAGUGAAGAAGGCCUUCGGGUUGUAAAGCUCUUUCAAACGGAAAGAAAUCGCGCGCUCUAACAUAGCGCGUGGAUGACGGUACCGUAAGAAAAAGCACCGGCUAACUACGUG